rnacentral:rRNA from 2 species
UGGGGAAUAUUGCGCAAUGGGGGAAACCCUGACGCAGCGAUGCCGCGUGAGUGAAGAAGGCCCUAGGGUUGUAAAACUCUUUCACCGGUGAAGAUAAUGACGGUAGCCGGAGAAGAAGCCCCGGCUAACUCCGUGCCAGCAGCCGCGGUAAUACGGAGGGGGCUAACGUUGUUCGGAAUUACUGGGCGUAAAGCGCGCGUAGGCGGAUUAGACAGUUGAGGGUGAAAUCCCGGAGCUUAACUCCGGAACUGCCUUCAAUACUACUAAUCUUGAGUUCGGAAGAGGUGAGUGGAAUUCCUAGUGUAGAGGUGAAAUUCGUAGAUAUUAGGAAGAACAUCAGUGGCGAAGGCGACUCACUGGUCCGAUACUGACGCUGAGGUGCGAAAGCGUGGGGAGCAAACAGG